rnacentral:rRNA from 1 species
CAGUCGCCGCGGGAAUACGGAGGGGGCUAGCGUUGUUCGGAAUUACUGGGCGUAAAGCGUACGUAGGCGGCUUUGUAAGUUAGAGGUGAAAGCCUGGUGCUCAACACCAGAACUGCCUUUAAGACUGCAUCGCUUGAACGUCGGAGAGGUGAGUGGAAUUCCGAGUGUAGAGGCGAAAUUCGUAGAUAUUGGAAGGAACACCUGUGGCGAAAGCGGCUCACUGGACCAUAACUGACGUUGAUGCACGAAAGCUAGGGGAGCAAACAGGAUUAGAUACCCGCGUAGUCCCUGUCUCUUAUAC